AUAAAUAAAUUUUAUAUGGUUUAAAAAAUUUAUUAUAAAUUUAUUUUACAUAUAAAUUCUAGUAUUUAAUAAUUAUUAUUUUAAUAAUAGUAAUAAUAUACUUGUAGUAAUUAAUAUUAAAUAUUUAAGAAAUUAAGAUUUAGUAAUAUAAAAAUUAUUAACAAAUUUUGUGCCAGCAGUUGCGGUUAAACAAAAGUUAAAUUAAAUUUUGUUAGUUAAUUAAUAAUUAAUUUAUUUAAUAUAAUUAAAAAUUAAUAUUAUUAGGUGAAAUUUUAAUUUUAUAUUUAUUUAUUUAAUAUAAUUUAUGAUUUGAUAAAUUUUAAUAUUAAACUAGGAUUAGAUACCCUAUUAUUUAAAAUUUAAAUUUAAAAUACUAAAAUAGUAUAUAAUUAUUUAUUGAAACUUAAAUAUUUUGGCGGUAUUUUAGUUUAUUUAGAGGAAUCUGUUUAUUAAUUGAUAAUCCACGAAUAAAUUUACUUAAUUUAGUAUUUUGUAUAUCGUUGUUAAAAAAAUAUUUUUUAAUAAUUAUAAUAUUUUGAAAUUAAUAAUAAAAUUUAAAUCAAAUCAAGAUGCAGAUUAUAAUUAAGAAUAUAAUGGAUUACAAUAAAAUUAUUUAAAUGAAUUUUAAUUUGUAAUAAUUAAAUGAAGGUGGAUUUAAAUGUAAUUUUUUUUUAUUUUAUAAAAAUGAUUUAUAAUUAAAAUAUGUACAUAUUGCCCGUCGCUUUCAUAAAUAAAUUGAAAUAAGUCGUAACAAAGUAGAGGUACUGGAAAGUGUUUCUAGAAAGAA
rnacentral:ncRNA from 1 species